UACGUAGGGGUCUAGCGUUGUCCGGAAUCAUUGGGCGUAAAGAGCUCGUAGGCGGUUCGGCAAGUCGGAUGUGAAAUCUCCACGCUCAACGUGGAGGGGCCAUUCGAAACUGCCGUGACUGGAGUCCGGUAGGGGAGUGCGGAAUUCCCGGUGUAGCGGUGGAAUGCGUAGAGAUCCGGAAGAACACCGGUGGCGAAGGCGGCUACCUGGCACAUAACUGACGCUGAGACGCGAAAGCGUGGGGAGCGAACCGG
rnacentral:rRNA from 1 species